UACGAAGGGGGCUAGCGUUGUUCGGAAUCACUGGGCGUAAAGGGCGCGUAGGCGGCCGAUCAAGUCGGGGGUGAAAGCCUGUGGCUCAACCACAGAAUUGCCUUCGAUACUGUUUGGCUUGAGACCGGAAGAGGUUAGUGGAACUGCGAGUGUAGAGGUGAAAUUCGUAGAUAUUCGCAAGAACACCAGUGGCGAAGGCGGCUGACUGGUCCGGUUCUGACGCUGAGGAGCGAAAGUGUGGGGAGCGAACAGG
rnacentral:rRNA from 1 species